rnacentral:rRNA from 1 species
UACGGGGGGGCAAGCGUUGUUCGGAAUUACUGGGCGUAAAGGGCUCGUAGGCGGCCAACUAAGUCGGACGUGAAAUCCCUCGGCUUAACCGGGGAACUGCGUCCGAUACUGGAUGGCUGGAGGUUGGGAGAGGGAUGCGGAAUUCCAGGUGUAGCGGUGAAAUGCGUAGAUAUCUGGAGGAACACCGGUGGCGAAGGCGGCAUCCUGGACCAAUAUUGACGCUGAGGAGCGAAAGCCAGGGGAGCAAAGCGGG